rnacentral:lncRNA from 1 species
UAUUCAGGGAACAUAAGAUAGUUUUCGUCAUCCUUUUCUUCUUCAUUGUCUUACAUCAUAACCCCUCUUUCUCCAUGCUUGGUCCAAACAUUAUAGCUGGGCAUGAAACCGGAUGAUAGCAGGUUGAUGUGAAGGAUUUUCGAGCAAGAGUAAUCCCUCAUAUUCUCACAGACAACACAUGGACAACACAUAAAACCAUUCAAACUGUUUUCCUUAGCCACACCGAUAAAAUUAUGCAGGCCCAUAAUGUACUAGGAAGUUCG